rnacentral:rRNA from 1 species
UGUAAGCGUAUACCAAAGUUGUUGCAGUUAAAACGCUCGUAGUCGGAAUUUGGCAGUUCCGGAUGUGUGCGCGUCGUGUGCGCACUUCGCGGGGAUUGCUUUUGUGGUCUUGCGUAGGAUGAGGCACUUUUAUUAGUGAACGUCCUCACGCAACCACUUUUUACUGUGAGAAAAUCAGAGUGCUCAAAGCAGGCAUUUGCCGUGAAUGUAUUAGCAUGGAAUAAUAGAAUAGGACUUGGUUCUAUUUUGUUGGUUUGUUGGGACUGAGUAAUGAUUAAGAGGGACAGUUGGGGGCAUUUGUAUUUCGGUGCUAGAGGUGAAAUUCUUAGAUUACCGAAAGACAAACUGCUGCGAAAGCGUCUGCCAAGGAUAUUUUCAUUGA